UCCCUGGUGAUUGAGUGGCUAAGACUCUGUGCUCCCAAAGCAGGGACCCCGGGUUCAAUCCCUGGUCAGGGAA
rnacentral:tRNA from 1 species